rnacentral:siRNA from 1 species
GGACUAUGGCCGUUUAGGCCAAG